GAUGAACGCUAGCUACAGGCUUAACACAUGCAAGUCGAUGGGCAGCACAAGGCAGCAAUGCUGAGGUGGCGACCGGCGCACGGGUGCGUAACGCGUAUCCAACCUUCCCGUUACUCUUGGAUAGCCUUCCGAAAGGGAGAUUAAUACAAGAUGGUGUUGAAAUUCCGCAUGUUAUUUCAACUAAAGAUUUAUCGGUAACGGAUGGGGAUGCGUGACAUUAGAUAGAUGGCGGGGUAACGGCCCACCAUGUCCACGAUGUCUAGGGGUUCUGAGAGGAAGGUCCCCCACACUGGAACUGAGACACGGUCCAGACUCCUACGGGAGGCAGCAGUGAGGAAUAUUGGUCAAUGGCCGGAAGGCUGAACCAGCCAAGCAGCGUGAAGGAUGAAGGUUCUAUGGAUUGUAAACUUCUUUUAUACGGGAAUAAAACCUCCCACGUGUGGGAGCUUGUAUGUACCGUAUGAAUAAGCAUCGGCUAACUCCGUGCCAGCCGCCGCCGUAAGAC
rnacentral:rRNA from 1 species